GACGAACGCUGGCGGCGUGCUUAACACAUGCAAGUCGAACGGUGAAGGGAUCAGCUUGCUGGUUCUGGAUGAGUGGCGAACGGGGGAGUAACACGUGAGUAACCUGCCCCCUUCUUCUGGAUAACCGCAUGAAAGUGUGGCUAAUACGGGAUAUUCUGGGUCUGUCGCAUGAUGGGUCUGGGAAAGAUAUUGUUUCGGUGGGGGGUGGGCUCGCGGCCUAUCAGCUUGUUGGUGGGGGGAUGGCCUACCAAGGCGGUGACGGGUAGCCGGCCGGAGAGGGUGGACGGUGACACUGGGACUGAGACACGGCCCAGACUCCUACGGGAGGCAGCAGUGGGGAAUAUUGCACAAUGGGCGCAAGCCUGAUGCAGCGACGCCGCGUGAGGGAUGGAGGCCUUCGGGUUGUAAACCUCUUUCGCCAGUGAAGCAGGCCUGCUCCUUGUGGGUGGGUUGACGGUAGCUGGAUAAGAAGCGCCGGCUAACUACGUG
rnacentral:rRNA from 1 species